GGGUGAACUGGCAUGCCCGUAUUGUCCCUGUGAACCAGAGCUCUACUGAAUAGAUGAAUCCACAUGGUGAGUGCUACUUUUUACGACAAAGUUAAAACCAAAGGAGAUAUACAAGCAAUAUUUUGGUUCCCGAGACCGAAGCAGCUCCAAUCUUUAAGUUAGAGGACAUUUUCAAGAAUGCCUUUCUUCGAUAGAGAUGAAAAAAGGAGCAUCUUCCUGGGAAAAUAUGUGACUAUGGAGAGAGGCAAUGUUGUCAACACAGCAGUAUCAGCACUAUGCAUCCAAACCUGGUGAUAUAAUAAGUGCUUUUGUGAACUCAAUGGGUGUGGGUGUUACCUCACUGAGUGGUUGCUCCUUGUAAAGUGUAUGAUAUCUCUCCAAUUUCCACUCUUGGGGACAAUAUCAUUUCUCUGGAAAUGCAAUAGAAUACAGUCUUUCAGCAAAGAUGUACUGUGGCUUCUGUGUGCUGGACACUGAGAGCAGCAAAGAUACGCAAGCAAUGGAGAACUUGAGAAGAUGUAAAAGGCAGGAGAUGUGAGGAGGCCUGAGGUGGAGCAAAGGCUUCAGACAGAGGCUGUGCCAGCAGCUGGAGGAACAUGAGGAGGGAGAAGAUCCAACAGAUUAGAGAGCAGGGGUUUCUGGGUCUGAUGGCCAAUGGACUGAAUGAAAAGAUCCAGGGGACGCAUGAGCCAUAUUCUGGCAGACUUGUAGAAUAAUCUGCAAAUGAAGUUACACUUUCGUUUGCUAGCAGAGAAUGAAUUACACUUUCCCCCUCCCCCCCUUUUUUUUGCUAACAGAGAAUAAAUAAUGCCUCCUGAAAAUCCAUAUUGAAAAAAGCUCUUCUUAAUUUUUGAAGUGUUUUUAGAAUCAUUUAGUUUGACACUGUAUUGGAAAUCACUUGAUCCAUAAUUUAUUUGGAAACAAAUAAUCUUCCUUGCUUAAAUAUCCAUCCGAAUUCCAACUUAAGGCUCUCACAUACAUUAGUGGCUUCCUAAAUAUUACCACUAAAAUGUCCAUACAGAGAGGUGAUGAGUUGGAAGAGCCAGAGCUCAGGGCCAGGUGUUUCCAAGGCUGUUUGGUCUGGGUCAGUCCUGUGCCAACUAUUGAAGGAUGGUGCAUAUUUCUUCAAAGCAUGCUUUGUUCUCUGAAGUGAUUUCACCAUGUGAUGGAAAUUACCAUGUCAGGUUAUUUUGGAUAGGAAAGUUCAAAAGUUGGACAUGCCAAACUGGAGCAAAAUCCUAUAAGAAAACCUUCUUCAGGAGAAAUAGGAGAGAUUUAAUUUGGUUCCCAGAAAUCUUUGUGAUGGAGACUAAUGCUGUGAUCCCCAAACCUUAUCAGUGUUAUCGCUGAUUCAGUCACACCUUCCUGGUGUAUGUGCUGGAGGGAGAGGUCGGGGAAGAUUCACACACCCCUUGAAAGCUCUUAAUCAUGGGGAGUUGUGCAGAUCCUCUGGAAGCCUUUAUGUUUUGCAAUGGCCUAUUUUAUAUUUAAAAGUUGUUAGAUCAUUUAAAGCAGCAUGAACUACUUUUCACUUAAUCGCUGCCCAUCUGGGGGUCUAUGCCAAGGUAACACUCGCUACUAGCCCCACAGAGAAUGACCCAAUUGUGCCUUUAGUUUCCUCUAAAUACAAUCCAUUGAUUUUCUUUCCCCG
ensembl:lncRNA